rnacentral:rRNA from 1 species
CCUACGGGUGGCAGCAGUGGGGAAUCUUCCGCAAUGGACGAAAGUCUGACGGAGCAACGCCGCGUGAGUGAUGACGGCCUUCGGGUUGUAAAGCUCUGUUAAUCGGGACGAAUGGUUCUUGUGCAAAUAGUGCGAGGAUUUGACGGUACCGGAAUAGAAAGCCACGGCUAACUACGUGCCAGCAGCCGCGGUAAUACGUAGGUGGCAAGCGUUGUCCGGAAUUAUUGGGCGUAAAGCGCGCGCAGGCGGAUUGGUCAGUCUGUCUUAAAAGUUCGGGGCUUAACCCCGUGAUGGGAUGGAAACUGCCAAUCUAGAGUAUCGGAGAGGAAAGUGGAAUUCCUAGUGUAGCGGUGAAAUGCGUAGAGAUUAGGAGGAACACCAGUGGCGAAGGCGACUUUCUGGACGAAAACUGACGCUGAGGCGCGAAAGCCAGGGGAGCGAACGGGAUUAGAUACCCGGGUAGUC